GUUGCUAUGGCUGUUUUGGGUGUGAGUGCAGACACUACUACUGUGAAAGCGUCAGAGGAGGAGGACGAAAGAAGAAAAAAUGAGUGAAGAAAUUGAAAAUGGAAAAAAGGUGGUGGUGGUGAAGACGUGGAAAUUACUUAAUUGGGCUUAUGUUUUUUGUUUUUUUGUUUUUCUCUAACGAAUUUUUUAUUUUCGAAAAUAAACGUUAUGCGAUGUUGUACAGACAGCGAUUUUUGUUCUUUUUUGAGAUUAUACUAGAC
rnacentral:lncRNA from 1 species